AACGACUCUCGGCAACGGAUAUCUCGGCUCUCGCAUCGAUGAAGAACGUAGCGAAAUGCGAUACUUGGUGUGAAUUGCAGAAUCCCGUGAACCAUCGAGUCUUUGAACGCAAGUUGCGCCCCAAGCCUUUUGGCCGAGGGCACGUCUGCCUGGGUGUCACAAA
rnacentral:rRNA from 7 species